AUGGCAGAGCUGGGCGGCAUGCUUGCCGCUGCCAUCAUCAAGGUGGUGGCCGAGCAGAUUGGCUCUGCGAUCGGAAGUCAGAUCGUACUGCAGAAGAACUUCAAUGAGGACCUCAAGAAGAUGAAGAUGGCACUGGAGAGCGUUGAUGCCGUGCUCGAGGACGCUGAGAGGCGGUCAAUAACGGAUAAGGUGACGCGUCUGUGGCUGAAGCGGCUUAAGAACUUCAUGUAUGAGAUCUCCGACAUGAUAGAUGAGUUUGAAGCAGACACACAAGCCAUCGCCCGGCCGUCACCGCAGAAAUUUUCCUUCAAAAAAUAUUUGGCAAUAAUUAUGAUCCCUUGUCUCACAAUUGGUCCCAAGAUUACAAUGGCCAAUAAGAUGAAUAAGAUGAGGAAGGGUCUGGAGGUGAUAACAGGUCAGCACAAGGAAUUCAAAUUAACUGAAUGCACUAAUGCCAAUGAGCAAACAGUUACUGAUGUACAGGAAACAUCGUCAAAAUUGGAGAGACACAUCGUUGGGAGGACCAAGGAGAAAGAUAAAAUAUUGGCUUAUUUAUCUGAAAGCAUGAUAAACGAGAUCACUGUCCUUCCAAUAUAUGGCAUUGGAGGCCUUGGCAAGACAACCUUGGCAAAAAUGGUUUACAAUAGUCCCCAAUUCAAAGAAUACUCUCAAGUUUGGGUUUAUGUGUCCCAGACAUUUGAUUUGAAGAAAAUUGGUAACUCUAUAAUAUCACAGCUAUCAGAGAAAAAUAGGGAGAUUGCGUACACUGAAAAGCAGAUGAUAGACAAUUACCUUCAAAAGCUCCUUGCCAAUAAGAAUAUUCUGAUUGUUUUAGAUGACUUGUGGGAAAACAAUAAAUCUCAUUUGGAAGAGUUGUUGGGUAUGUUAAAGGUUGGGGAGAGCGGAAAGGUGGUUGUUGUAGUAACCACACGCUAUGAAGACAUUGCAAAGAAAAUUUGUACUAUUCAACCUCACAAAUUAGCACCACUAAAAGAUGACGAGUGCUGGACUAUCAUAAAGCAAAAGAGUGACUUUGAAUCGAGAUAUGACCAACAAGAGUUGCGGCACAUAGGGAAGGACAUUGCAAGUAAGUGUCGAGGUGUGGCUUUAGCGGCCCAAUCACUUGGACACAUGCUGCAUUCUCUCCCGUUUGACGAAUGGGAGUCGGUGAGAAACAGUGAUUUCUGGAAUUUAUCUGAUUCAGAAGAUACAAGUUUGACACAUGUGCUUCCAUCAUUGAAGUUAAGCUACAGUGUUAUGCCAUCGUAUUUGAAGAUAUGUUUUGCCUACUGUGCGAUUUUUCCAAAAGGUUACAAGAUAGUUAAAGAUGAUCUGAUUCAUCAGUGGAUUUCAAUGGGAUUCAUCAAGGCAGAGAGCAAGUCAUCCACUUGGCAGCUUGGAGAGAAAUGCAUUAGGCAGCUUCUUGGGCUCUCCUUCCUUGAACAUUCAAAGUCAGCACUGACUAUAGGAGUGAAUUUCGAAAAUGAUACAUUGUUCACUAUGCAUGAUUUGGUGCACGAUCUAGCAAGAUUGGUCAUGGCCGACGAAAUACUUGUCUCUAGCAAACAAGGCAACACUAGGGGAAGCUGCUGCCACUUCGCAUUGCUCAAUGAUUGUCGCAAGCCAUUGGAGUCAUCCAAGAUAAGAGCACUCCGUUUUCUAGGUUGUGAAGAAUAUAAACUCCAUGAUGCCGCAUUUUCCUCCGCUAUAUCCUUGCGUGUCUUGGACUUAAGUGAGUGCACUAUACAUAAUUUGGCAUACUGUAUUGGUGAACUGAAGCAACUGAGAUAUCUUAAUGCUCCAAGAAUCCAAGAUGCAAAGAUUCCGGACAGUAUCACCAAGCUCUCAAAAUUAAUUUACCUAAACCUUCAUGGAUCUCCUACAAUGUUAGCACUACCAGAGUCAAUUGGAGAAAUUGAGGGUCUACUGUAUCUUGAUUUGUCAGGUUGUUCUGGAAUUGCAAAACUGCCAGAAUCAUUCAGAAGGCUACAAGAAUUGGUGCAUCUGGAUAUGUCAAAUUGCUCCUCUGUUGGAGGUAUAUCGGUGUUCUUGGAGAGCCUCACACAACUAGAGUAUUUGAACUUAUCAUGCUGCCAAAAUAUUGGAGACAUACCGAAAGCUCUGGGAGGCCUAUACAAACUGCAGUAUUUGAACUUAUCAAACAGCUCCUAUCUUCAAUGUUGUCAAGAAGCAGAAUUUUUGGGUGCCCUCACCAAGCUCGUGUAUUUGAACUUAUCUUCGUGGUAUUGUGAACUUCAAAAGCUCCCUGAAGCUUUGGGCAGAUUCACUCAACUCAAGUACUUAAACUUAUCAGGUUGGCGAGAUUUGACGAAAUUGCCAAGAUUAUUUGGGAGUCUAAAACAUUUGGUGCAUCUUGAUUUAUCACAUUGUUCCAUGAUUGAUCGUCUACAUGAAGCUUUAGUUGGUCUUAUCAAUCUUAAAUACUUGAAUUUAGAAUAUACACGCCUCAAUUUGCUGCCAGAUGAUCUGACCAAACUCCGGUAUUUAAAUCUAUCCAAUCUAAGAAACAUGCAGGAAGAUGCCUUUGACAGUCUCAUCAACCAUAUAUGCAGUAAUCUUUCCGAUCUAGAGUAUUUGGACUUGUCUGCUAAUUAUGAUAUUAAAAGAAUACCUGAAAGUAUUUGUAGCCUCACAAAGUUGCAUACAUUGGACCUCUCGAGAUGCAAUUUGAAGAAGGUACCAGAAAGUAUACAUACAAUUGGUAGUUUCAAGUUUCUUUAUUUAAAGGGAUGUGACCGUUUUUUCAGAAAGCCUCAACUUGGUGGCAGUACAGUAUCAUUACCAAAAUUUAUUGUGCGUGCUGGUGAUGAUGAAUCCGGCAGCAAUCUUGUGCUGCUACAACCCACAUAUCCUGUUGAGCUGCAGAUAAUUAAACUUGAAAACGUGAAGUCUACAGGAGAGGCACAUAAUGUAAGAUUAAUUGAAAAGAAAAGCCUUCAAGACUUGAAUCUGGAGUGGACUCGAGGUGUUAAGAGAUUUGUGGAUGACAAAAUGUUGCUAGAAAAACUAGUUCCACCAAGCACAUUAAGGAAAUUGGAGAUAUGUGCUUAUAAUGGUAUCAGCUUUCCAUCCUGGCUAGCGGGCCAACUACCAAACCUCCAGUUUCUAGUUCUCAGAGAUAUGGCAAACCUUGAAGAGUGGAACACGUCAUACUCCACUAGUGAGGAGCACGUGUUUCAAAAAGUGGAAAUACAUGGUUGUCCCAUGUUAAGGAUGAAACCGCAUCUGCCUAAAUCAAAAUCCUGGGUGAUAGAACACAGUGAUAAUGUGUUGACAUCAUGGGAUGAAUGCACUGUGUCACACACUAGUGCUUCUUCCUCUUCUUCUCCUGUAACUACUUGGUUGUCGGUUCAAUACUGCAAGGUGCCACUGCAUCAGUGGAGGUUGCUUCGACACUUCCUUGGACUACCUUCUUUGUCAAUUCACAACUGCGGUGAUCUAACCGGCUCACCAGAAAUUACCCAACGUCUAUCCUCUGUGGAGACACUAUGCCUAGGAGACAAACACAUGGAAGAACUACCGAAAUGGUUGGGUGAGCUCAAAUCUCUAGAGAAUCUAGAUAUAAUAAGUGGCGAUGGAGUAGCGGAGUUGAAUGAGAACAUGAGGCAACUCACAAAGCUACAAGCACUAGAACUGAACUUGUGCAACAACAUAACACUGCCGCCUUGGUUAGGCGAAUUAACAUCUCUCAAGGAACUUAACAUAGCUCACAAUGGAGUCUUGAGGUCUUUGCCGGCAAGCAUACAACAACUCACCAGGCUCCAGGAAAUACAAAUUAUUAACUGCCCUGCACUAGAGCACGUGGCUGUUGAAUCAGAGGUCGGAAAGAUGAAGCUCAGUCACAACCAAGAAAGGGUAUGUGUCCUGCCCACCUCUCUCAAGCGACUUAGUAUCAGUUAUUGUAAUGGUAUCAAGUCUUUGCCUCAGGGCAUACAUCAACUCACAAACCUCCAAGAACUAGACAUUUCUAACUGCCAUGGACUAGAGCAGUGGUGUGAAUUAGAGGAGAACAAGAUGAAGCUGGCUCACAUAGAAAAGAAGGAAUUUUACUGGGGUUAG
rnacentral:rRNA from 1 species